rnacentral:rRNA from 1 species
GACGAACGCUGGCGGCGUGCCUAAUACAUGCAAGUUGAGCGCUGAAGGUUGGUACUUGUACCAACUGGAUGAGCAGCGAACGGGUGAGUAACGCGUGGGGAAUCUGCCUUUGAGCGGGGGACAACAUUUGGAAACGAAUGCUAAUACCGCAUAAAAACUUUAAACACAAGUUUUAAGUUUGAAAGAUGCAAUUGCAUCACUCAAAGAUGAUCCCGCGUUGUAUUAGCUAGUUGGUGAGGUAAAGGCUCACCAAGGCGAUGAUACAUAGCCGACCUGAGAGGGUGAUCGGCCACAUUGGGACUGAGACACGGCCCAAACUCCUACGGGAGGCAGCAGUAGGGAAUCUUCGGCAAUGGACGAAAGUCUGACCGAGCAACGCCGCGUGAGUGAAGAAGGGUUUCGGAUCGUAAAACUCUGUUGGUAGAGAAGGACGUUGGUGAGAGUGGAAAGCUCAUCAAGUGACGGUAACUACCCAGAAAGGGACGGCUAACUACGUG